GAUGAACGCUAGCGGCAGGCUUAAUACAUGCAAGUCGAGGGGCAGCAUGAUUGUAGCAAUACAAUUGAUGGCGACCGGCAAACGGGUGCGGAACACGUACACAACCUCCCAAUAAGUGGGGAAUAGCCCAGAGAAAUUUGGAUUAAUACCCCGUAACAUUAUGAUGUGGCAUCACAUUAUAAUUAUAGCUACGGCGCUUAAUGAUGGGUGUGCGGCUGAUUAGGUAGUUGGCGGGGUAACGGCCCACCAAGCCUGCGAUCAGUAACUGGUGUGAGAGCACGACCAGUCACACGGGCACUGAGACACGGGCCCGACUCCUACGGGAGGCAGCAGUAAGGAAUAUUGGGCAAUGGAGGAAACUCUGACCCAGCCAUGCCGCGUGGAGGAUGAAGGUCCUCUGGAUUGUAAACUUCUUUUAUAUGGGACGAAAAAGGGUCUUUCUAGGUCAACUGACGGUACCAUAUGAAUAAGCACCGGCUAACUCCGUGCCAGCAGCCGCCGUAACAC
rnacentral:rRNA from 1 species